CAGCAGCAGCCACGGGAACACAGAGGGUGCGAGCGUUAAUCGGAUUUACUGGGCGUAAAGCGUGCGUAGGCGGCUUCUUAAGUCGGAUGUGAAAUCCCUGAGCUUAACUUAGGAAUUGCAUUCGAUACUGGGAAGCUAGAGUAUGGGAGAGGAUGGUAGAAUUCCAGGUGUAGCGGUGAAAUGCGUAGAGAUCUGGAGGAAUACCGAUGGCGAAGGCAGCCAUCUGGCCUAAUACUGACGCUGAGGUACGAAAGCAUGGGGAGCAAACAGGAUUAGAUACCCCCGUAGUCCCUGUCUCUUAUAC
rnacentral:rRNA from 1 species